GUCGCUCACCGCAUCUGGGCGGUGUGAGGAAAGUCCGGGCAACACAGAGCAUCAUAUUUCCUAACGGGAAGCUGUCGGUAACGGCAGAGUAGCGUGACAGAAAAUAACCGCCGGAAUACGUUAAAUACGGGCCGGCAAGGGUGAAAAGGCGGGGUAAGAGCCCACCGGAUGACAUAGUGAUAUGACAUGCCGCACGCCUUAUGAGUUGCAAAGCCAAGUAUACCGGCAUUUAAGGGCUGCUCGUCCAUUGCCGGGGGGUAGGCUGCUAAAGUCCGGUGGUGACAUCGGACUCAGAUAAAUGACGAAACGCCAUAGACAACCCUCACACGGUGAGGAAGUGUCAUGGCCGACAUAACCCGGCUUAUCGUCCGGCUGC
rnacentral:RNase_P_RNA from 1 species